rnacentral:rRNA from 1 species
UACGUAGGGGGCAAGCGUUGUCCGGAUUUAUUGGGCGUAAAGAGCGUGUAGGCGGCCAGGUAGGUCCGUUGUGAAAACUGGAGGCUUAACCUCCAGCUGUCGAUGGAAACCAUCUGGCUAGAGUCCGGAAGAGGAGAGUGGAAUUCCUGGUGUAGCGGUGAAAUGCGCAGAUAUCAGGAAGAACACCAACGGCGAAGGCAGCUCGCUGGGACGGUACUGACGCUGAGACGCGAAAGCGUGGGGAGCGAACAGG